GUCAGAUAUGCAGACCAGAAAUGGAAUCCUCCACACCAGAACAUGGCUUCCUGUAACGCCUGGAACUGCAGACCAGAAUGCAAUGAAAAAGUACAUCUUGUAGCUAACUGUAACUUCAGACCAGACAUGGAUGGGAAAAAUACAGACUGUAGCUAACAACUAUAUGCAGACCAGAAAUGGAAUCCUCCACACCAGAACAUGGCUUCCUGUAACGCCUGAACUGCAGACCAGAAUGCAAUGAAAAAGUACAUCUUGUAGCUAACUAUAUGCAGACCAGAAAUGGAAUCCUCCACACCAGAACAUGGCUUCCUGUAACGCCUGUAACUUCAGACCAGACAUGGAUGGGAAAAAUACAGACUGUAGCUAACAACUAUAUGCAGACCAGAAAUGGAAUCCUCCACACCAGAACAUGGCUUCCUGUAACGCCUGUAACUUCAGACCAGACAUGGAUGGGAAAAAUACAGACUGUAGCUAACAACUAUAUGCAGACCAGAAAUGGAAUCCUCCACACCAGAACAUGGCUUCCUGUAACGCCUGGAACUGCAGACCAGAAUGCAAUGAAAAAGUACAUCUUGUAGCUAACUGUAACUUCAGACCAGACAUGGAUGGGAAAAAUACAGACUGUAGCUAACAACUGUAACUUCAGACCAGACAUGGAUGGGAAAAAUACAGACUGUAGCUAACAACUGGAACUGCAGACCAGAAUGCAAUGAAAAAGUACAUCUUGUAGCUAACUGUAACUUCAGACCAGACAUGGAUGGGAAAAAUACAGACUGUAACUAACAACUGUAACUUCAGAUCAGACAUGGAUUGGAAAAAUACAGACUGUAGCUAACAACUAUAUGCAGACCAGAAAUGGAAUCCUCCACACCAGAACAUGGCUUCCUGUAACGCCUGGAACUGCAGACCAGAAUGCAAUGAAAAAGUACAUCUUGUAGCUAACUGUAACUUCAGACCAGACAUGGAUGGGAAAAAUACAGACUGUAGCUAACAACUGCUAGGUUUGUGUACGAGUGACAACCCUAUCGGAUCUGACUUACUUUUUUGUCAUUUUUAUUUAUUUUUUACCCCCUUUUCUCCCCAAUUUCAUGAUAUACAAUUACGCUGCAACUCCCUCGGGAGAUUCGAAGGUCGAGUCAUGCGUCCUUCCCAAACCGCACUUCUUAACUUCUUGAGAAUACAGGGGGUGCUAUUUCGCAUUAGCAUAAUUGCCUCUACAGACUAAACUGCCUCUUAUUCAAUUAUUGCUGUUACUAUAUUCAUAUAACCAUAUAGCAUUGGAUAGAAAACAAGCUAUGGUUUCUAAAACCGUUCCAAUUGAGUCUCUGAGUCAAACACAGGUCAUUUCAUAGCACUUUCCCUGAGCCUGAAAAAAAUUGCAAGAUGUGUAUGCUCGCUUCAAAGCUCUGCCUAUAUAUGGUCACGCCACCUAUGACCCGAAUGACACUUCCUUCUUCUUCCCCUGGGUGUCUGGAAGACGUCAGAGGAGAAAUUUUUUGUUUAUCUUGUACUGACGUGAAAUAAGACUUAUUUCUUUAGCGUGACCGACAACUUCCGGUUUCUGAGAUGCGCGUUUUCAGAGGUGGCAUUGUCUUUUGUUAUGCUGACGUUACGGAUGAAAACUAUCUCCGUGUCGAAGUUUGUUUCAUACAUGUGACCAUAUCACCGUAAUGUAUGUUUUUUCAAUAUAGUUUAAUCAGAUUAGAUUAUUAGAAUUUUUUCGGGAGUUUUGCCGUGUUCCGUUCUGUGAGUUUUUUAACUUUGGACAGAGCCGUGCUAGUCGACCAAUACCCAGGCUAAAUGAAGAGGGAAAGUUGCCAUUGUGAAUGGAUUGAACGACUCAUCAGGACUAAGGACACCUUGAUCAACAUUCUGAUGAAAGAUCAGCAAUAGGCACUGCUAGUCGUGACUCCAUCCUUCUAAAUUGUCUCGUUGACUAGCGACGCCUGGGCUUCAGAGGUUGGGGGACAGCAGACCAGAAAAGGACACAGUGUUACACUUGUAAGAAUGCAUUUUGUGAAGUUGUUGCAAGAUUGUAUUUAGGAUGACACUAUCCCGAACAUGAUUGACAACACUGUCAGACCUGACUUCUGAAAUGCAAUUUGCAACCAAAGGAGUUAGCAGGAUUAUGGGAAGAAUAGCUUUAUAAAGGUUGUAACAACGUGUUUUCUUUCAUUUAUUUAAUUCCUAGUGACUGUCUUCGCAAGGGUCAUUGUGAUCUUUAUCAUACAAUGGAGCUGGCCAUCACUAGCAAUGUGGAGACCGCAUUAUUGCCUUUUCAUUUACAAAGCUCUAAAUUGGAACUGAGCUACCCUAGGACAAAGUUUGUUAUAUUGACUGUAUUGAUUUGUGGAGUAACUGGAUGUUUGAAUUUAAUAAAGAUAAUUUAAAUGCA